rfam:Candidatus Burkholderia humilis strain TZHbot5 BHTMctg73, whole genome shotgun sequence.
GUCGUCGCGAGGCGGGGUCUGAAGGAAGCGUGUAGCAAAGGCCACGACCUGACGAACAGAAACCAGAUACGAGGCCUACCCGGUCGGACGAGCAAGCAGAUGAUUGCGAAGUCCAUAGCCAUCAAGGUGGAGGUGGCGUGCGCAAGCUCGGCAU